rnacentral:misc_RNA from 1 species
GGGGAUUAAUUUAUUUAGAUGGAAAAUGGAGAAUGAUAGGGACGAUAUGUAUAUGUUAUAUAGUACAUAGUUAAGGGGAAAAGAGAAAUUAGUAGGGCAACCAUAUAGUCUGUUUGUUUUUGAGGUUUCUUUUGAAUGAUCUUAUGUUUUGAUCAAAAUCAUAGAAACCCUUGAAAGGCAUGUUGGUGGUGGGCUUUUACUUGUUUAUCUGCAAGUUUGGCCAAUAUAAUUUCCCUAAAAGGGGGAAGCUACUGGGUUCCUAAGUCCUAACCUAUCUAAUCC